rnacentral:misc_RNA from 1 species
GAUGAAGAACGUAGCGAAAUGCGAUAAGUAAUGUGAAUUGCAGAUUUCAGUGAAUCAUCGAAUCUUUGAACGCACAUUGCGCCCGCCAGUAUUCUGGCGGGCAUGCCUGUUCGAGCGUCAUUUCAACCAUCAAGCCCCCGGCUUGUGUUGGGGACCUGCGGCUGCCGCAGGCCCUGAAAACCAGUGGCGGGCUCGCUAGUCACUCCGAGCGUAGUAAUACAUCUCGCUCAGGGCGUGCUGCGGGUUCCGGCCGUUAAAAGCCUUAUUUACCCAAGGUUGACCUCGGAUCAGGUAGGAAGACCCGCUGAACUUAAGCAUAUCAAUAAGCGGAGGA